GCUUAUGCGUUGUUGGGUAGGGGAGCGUUCUGUAAGCCUGUGAAGGUGGCCUGUGAGGGUUGCUGGAGGUAUCAGAAGUGCGAAUGCUGACAUAAGUAACGAUAAAGCGGGUGAAAAGCCCGCUCGCCGGAAGACCAAGGGUUCCUGUCCAACGUUAAUCGGGGCAGGGUGAGUCGACCCCUAAGGCGAGGCCGAAAGGCGUAGUCGAUGGGAAACGGGUUAAUAUUCCCGUACUUGGUGUUACUGCGAAGGGGGGACGGAGAAGGCUAUGUUGGCCGGGCGACGGUUGUCCCGGUUUAAGCGUGUAGGUGUGUGUUCCAGGUAAAUCCGGUUCACUUUAACACUGAGGCGUGAUGACGAGGCACUACGGUGCUGAAGUAACAAAUGCCCUGCUUCCAGGAAAAGCCUCUAAGCAUCAGGUAACAUCAAAUCGUACCCCAAACCGACACAGGUGGUCAGGUAGAGAAUACCAAGGCGCUUGAGAGAACUCGGGUGAAGGAACUAGGCAAAAUGGUGCCGUAACUUCGGGAGAAGGCACGCUGACACGUAGGUGAAGUGAUUUACUCACGGAGCUGAAGUCAGUCGAAGAUACCAGCUGGCUGCAACUGUUUAUUAAAAACACAGCACUGUGCAAACACGAAAGUGGACGUAUACGGUGUGACGCCUGCCCGGUGCCGGAAGGUUAAUUGAUGGGGUCAGCGCAAGCGAAGCUCCUGAUCGAAGCCCCGGUAAACGGCGGCCGUAACUAUAACGGUCCUAAGGUAGCGAAAUUCCUUGUCGGGUAAGUUCCGACCUGCACGAAUGGCGUAAUGAUGGCCAGGCUGUCUCCACCCGAGACUCAGUGAAAUUGAACUCGCUGUGAAGAUGCAGUGUACCCGCGGCAAGACGGAAAGACCCCGUGAACCUUUACUAUAGCUUGACACUGAACAUUGAGCCUUGAUGUGUAGGAUAGGUGGGAGGCUUUGAAGUGUGGACGCCAGUCUGCAUGGAGCCGACCUUGAAAUACCACCCUUUAAUGUUUGAUGUUCUAACGUGGACCCGUUACCCGGGUUGCGGACAGUGUCUGGUGGGUAGUUUGACUGGGGCGGUCUCCUCCUAAAGAGUAACGGAGGAGCACGAAGGUUGGCUAAUCCUGGUCGGACAUCAGGAGGUUAGUGCAAUGGCAUAAGCCAGCUUGACUGCGAGCGUGACGGCGCGAGCAGGUGCGAAAGCAGGUCAUAGUGAUCCGGUGGUUCUGAAUGGAAGGGCCAUCGCUCAACGGAUAAAAGGUACUCCGGGGAUAACAGGCUGAUACCGCCCAAGAGUUCAUAUCGACGGCGGUGUUUGGCACCUCGAUGUCGGCUCAUCACAUCCUGGGGCUGAAGUAGGUCCCAAGGGUAUGGCUGUUCGCCAUUUAAAGUGGUACGCGAGCUGGGUUUAGAACGUCGUGAGACAGUUCGGUCCCUAUCUGCCGUGGGCGCUGGAGAACUGAGGGGGGCUGCUCCUAGUACGAGAGGACCGGAGUGGACGCAUCACUGGUGUUCGGGUUGUCAUGCCAAUGGCACUGCCCGGUAGCUAAAUGCGGAAGAGAUAAGUGCUGAAAGCAUCUAAGCACGAAACUUGCCCCGA
rnacentral:rRNA from 1 species